UACGUAGGGGGCAAGCGUUGUUCGGAAUUACUGGGCGUAAAGGGCGCGUAGGCGGCAUGGCAAGUCAGGAGUGAAAGGCCUGGGCUCAACCGAGGAACUGCUUUUGAUACUGCCAAGCUAGAGUGCGGAAGGGGCAACUGGAAUUCCCAGUGUAGCGGUGAAAUGCGUAGAUAUUGGGAAGAACACCUGAGGCGAAGGCGGGUUGCUGGGCCGACACUGACGCUGAGGCGCGAAAGCCAGGGGAGCAAAGCGGG
rnacentral:rRNA from 1 species